GACGAACGCUGGCGGCGUGCCUAAUACAUGCAAGUAGAACGCUGAAGGAGGAGCUUGCUUCUCUGGAUGAGUUGCGAACGGGUGAGUAACGCGUAGGUAACCUGCCUGGUAGCGGGGGAUAACUAUUGGAAACGAUAGCUAAUACCGCAUAAGAGUAGAUGUUGCAUGACAUUUGCUUAAAAGGUGCAAUUGCAUCACUACCAGAUGGACCUGCGGUGUAUUAGCUAGUUGGUGGGGUAACGGCUCACCAAGGCGACGAUACAUAGCCGACCUGAGAGGGGGAGUGGCCAACCUGGGAGUGAGACAGGGCCCAGACUCCUACGGGAGGGAGCAGGAGGGAAUCGUCAGCAAUGGACGGAAGUCUGACCGAGCAACGCCGCGGGAGUGAAGAAGGUUUUCGGAUCGUAAAGCUCGGUUGUAAGAGAAGAACGAGUGUGAGAGUGGAAAGUUCACACUGUGACGGUAUCUUACCAGAAAGGGACGGCUAACUACGUG
rnacentral:rRNA from 1 species